rnacentral:rRNA from 1 species
CCGAUGGCGACCGGCGCACGGGUGAGUAACACGUAUCCAACCUGCCCGAUACCGGGGUAUAGCCCAUGGAAACGUGGAUUAACACCCCAUAGUACUUUUAUCCUGCCUGGGAUGGGAGUUAAAUGUUCAAGGUAUCGGAUGGGCAUGCGUCCUAUUAGUUAGUUGGCGGGGUAACAGCCCACCAAGACGAUGAUAGGUAGGGGUUCUGAGAGGAAGGUCCCCCACAUUGGAACUGAGACACGGUCCAA